rnacentral:rRNA from 1 species
CAGUCGCCACGGUAAUACGGAGGGUGCAAGCGUUAUCCGGAUUCACUGGGUUUAAAGGGUGCGUAGGCGGAUCUGUAAGUCAGUGGUGAAAUCUCCAGGCUUAACCUGGAAACUGCCGUUGAUACUAUAGGUCUUGAAUUUUGUGGAGGUUAGCGGAAUAUGUCAUGUAGCGGUGAAAUGCAUAGAUAUGAUAUAGAACACCAAUUGCGAAGGCAGCUGGCUACACAACUAUUGACGCUGAGGCACGAAAGCGUGGGGAUCAAACAGGAUUAGAUACCCGUGUAGUCCCUGUCUCUUAUAA